rnacentral:rRNA from 1 species
AAUCACUUGUCUUUUAAAUGGAGACCUGUAUGAAUGGCAUAACGAGGGCUUAACUGUCUCCUUUUUCAAGUCAAUGAAAUUGAUCUCCCCGUGCAGAAGCGGGGAUAAGUACAUAAGACGAGAAGACCCUAUGAAGCUUUAGAUAACAAGGCAGACCAUGUUAAGCAACCCCCCUCAAGGGCCCAAACUAAAUGGAAUCUGCCCUAAUAUCUUCGGUUGGGGCGACCCUGGGGAAAUACAAAACCCCCAUGUGGAACGGGAGCACCUUCCCCCUUUUAUUCUAUGCUCCUAAAAACAAGAGAGACAACUCUAAUUAGCAGAAUUUCUGACCAAAAAUGAUCCGGCAAUGCCGAUCAACGGACCAAGUUACCCUAGGGAUAACAGCGCAAUCCUCUUUUAGAGCCCAUAUCGACAAGGGGGUUUACGACCUCGAUGUUGGAUCAGGACAUCCUAAUGGUGCAGCCGCUAUUAAGGGUUCGUUUGUUCAACGAUUAA